UACGGAGGGUGCAAACGUUGCUCGGAAUCAUUGGGCGUAAAGCGCACGUAGGCGGCCUAUCAAGUCGGGUGUGAAAGCCCUGGGCUCAACCCAGGAAGUGCACUCGAAACUGAAGGGCUUGAAUAUGGAAGAGGGUCGCGGAAUUCCCGGUGUAGAGGUGAAAUUCGUAGAUAUCGGGAGGAACACCAGUGGCGAAGGCGGCGCCUGGGCCAAUAUUGACGCUGAGGUGGCGAAAGCGUGGGGAGCAAACAGG
rnacentral:rRNA from 1 species